AGUGCCAUUGCUGGAUCCCAUGAUAAGAGUAUGAUUAUUUGUACAAGAAACUAGUAAGCUGUCUUUCCAAAAUGGCUUUGUCAUUUUGCAUUGCCACCAGCAAU
rnacentral:pre_miRNA from 1 species